GCUGGAGUUGCGGGGGAAGUAAUUGACGAACAUGUGCCCCCGCGCCUGGUCGAUACAGUGGAACAGCGGGUUCCAGUCGAACAUCGCCAGAAGCUGCGGCGUCAGGGUAUUGGCCACGAACAUCUUGCCCGACGCGAUCAUGUUGGCGCGCUG
rnacentral:ncRNA from 1 species